rnacentral:lncRNA from 1 species
UACAAUAGGCCGUGUCUAUUCUAUAACUGGUCUAAGGCUAAAACAAUGUUUUUUUCACUUUGAAUCGUGACUUGAUGGACGCUCUAAGUGUUUAGGUAUAAUUAAUUUUUGUUGAUACCGGUUGCUGAAGGUUCUUGAAAGCUUUAUCGCAGAAUCAACGUUCUAAAUCGUGCAAUUUAUGGAAUCAAGCAACCCAUUCAACAAUUUGUCUUCCAGAACACUCAUGAUAGUUGAAAUGUAAUUGCAUACAGAUUGUUCAUCUCCAAUUACUGCUGAUCAACUGAAAAUUGCUAAAGAAGUAGAGAAAGUAUUGUCAAAAACAUCACCUGGAACUAAGAUGGUCGAUUCAUUUGAGAUAGAUGAAACCGAAAUUGAAACAGAAUCAGAAAAGUUGGGAAAUAAGAAGACUACUCACACAGGUAGAAAGAAGAAAAGCAGAAUUGAUCUUGAAGAAGAAAACAAGAAGCUUAAAGAGCAGAUAGCUGAACUGCAAAACAUCCAAAAUUCUGAUCAGCCAAGUUCUACUUGUGAUGAUGAUACAGGAAUAUCAGAGAUCAAAGAAAAAAUGAAUCGAUGAGAUAGUAUAAAAAAUACUUUUGUCCAUUCUGCCAUGAGCUUCAGCACCAUUUCUCAAGACAUCUUUUGAACAACCACAAACAGGAAGAUGAAUUCAGGAGGGGUUAGAAAAGAUUAUGUUUUAUCCUAUUUCUCCUAUUAAGGAGGGAGCAGAAUAGUUUUGCCCAUCAUAGCCUGCCACUGAGUUUGUAGCCUCAACAAAUGUGUCUUAAUGAGUUGGUGAAAAUGCAUCAUCAAGAUUAUUUAUGAAACAAUCAAUUUCUUUCAUUUUCGAUGCUACUUUCACCACCUGGCGAAGUUUGGUUCUUAUCAUGUUUUCAGAUGUUGUUCUUUAUUUCGAACACACAAGUAACUGCCAUAAUCAAGUAUGGUCUCAUCCUUCAAUAUGUGAUUAUACACCUCAUUGUGAUCCAUCCCUGGCAAAACUACUUUUUUCAACAUAGGAUGUAUUUUUUGUUUAUCUGCUCUUCAAUCACGAUGGCACUUGAUCUUAUUUGAAGGUCUUUUGGAACAAUUUUUCCCCCAGUACAAAGUUUAUAAUGACGCCACAACGUAGAUUUCGUGUAAAAAUUAUGGCUUCAUUGAUUUUUCACUGACAUCUUGUUUGCGACGACAAUAAGUUCACCUUUAUUCAAAUUGAAAUCGGUAUUGAAUAUUAGGGAGCCUCACCCUCUAAUUCUAGCUAUCAAAUCGUUACGUACUUUUGAAUUAGGUUCCAGGGAAGCAAGUUUGGUAAAGCAGUAAUUUUCAAGGUAAAAUAAUUUUUAUUUUCAUAACUUUAAAUUUAAAGAAUGAUUAACAUUGUGGCUUCAAACUCAGUUGCUUAAGGCUGUGCAACAGGCUUUUGGAAACUUUUUACUGGUGAUUUUUUUAAAGUUUUUCGAUUUGGAUACUAUUAAACUAUCAAAAUAAAAAGCCUUUCUGUGGAAACAUUUGUUUUCAUUAUUACUUUUUGAGAUAUGAGUGCCUAAAGUUUAAAUUUGUGGAACAGAUCAUGUCAAGUUUGGUAACAGAUAAAUCCAUUAAAUUUUUAUACAUUCUUCACGGUAUUGUUCAAUAUUAAUGGAGAAAUUUCUUUUGAAAAUUAUAAUUUUUGAUAGUUAUUUCAUUUUCUAAAAAUGACUCAAACAAAAAUUGUUAAAAUUCUCAAUUUCUUCAUUAAUUGAACAACAGCGUCGAGAAUUAAUGUUCAAGAUUUAAUGGAUCUAUAACCAAAUUUGAGAUAAUCUGUUCCGAAAAUUUAAAAUUUAGGCGCUCAUAUCUCAGAGUAAUAAUAAUAAAAAAAUGUCCUACAAAAAUCAAAAGUAUCUAAAAAUCUCAGUAUCCAAAUCAAAAAAUAUCACCAGUAAAAUGUUUCUAAAAAACCUGUUGCACACAGCCUAAUACAAACUUAUCUCGAUUCUAUUGCAGAAAAUAUCAAAAUAAAACCUUUGAUUAUGGAUACGUUAAUGUUAAUCCCUUCCAAAACCAACUUGGUCCAUCUUAGAAAAACUUUCUUCUAAUUUACUGACUAGAAGUAACAUUUUGUGUCACUAGUAGAAUUACCCUACCUAUAGUAGGUAGUAUUCAUUUAAUAAUUAUAUACUAUAAUGUUUAGUAUAAUGAAGAACAAAGUACCCUUUCAUUAUAUUUUUAUUAACAAGACAUGUUUUGGCUUAUAAUGCCAUUUUAAAGUGUCGAAAAGUAUUAGUUAAAGAAUAGUUUUUUUGUAUUAAUUCCAAGAACUUUCAACUUUCGAGAUUUGAUUCGAGUAAUUUUCAAAAUUGCUGAUUAAUGAAUUAUAUUGAAAAAUCUUCAGUACAUCUUAUGUACUAAUUAUAGUUUAUUGAACCAUGACGAACUAUGACUUCACUUGAGAUUUUUCACUUUAAUACUGACAUGCAAUCAUUAUUUUAAAUUCAAUAGGAAAUUUGCCUAUUUAUAGACUGGAGCUUAUCUGUUGAGGAUGGGUUCAAUUGAACUAGAAAAUUGAAUGAAAAAGACUAAGAAAUUGUCAAAAAACCACUGAUUUAUUGAUUUAUUUCAGUUUAUCAGAGAUUGACAAUGGUGUAAUAACCGAAACCGGUCUUUCUAAUUAUCAAUAAAUCAGUGGUUUUUUGACAAUUUCUUAGUCUUUUUCAUUCAAUAUGAAUAAUUAGCACAAUAUCAACUUGUCAACUACACAAAAAGUGAAACUAGAAAAUCCUCCAGUCUGUAAGUCGGAAAAUUUUCUCUUAAAUAAACAUUAUUACUACAUGUCAGUAUCGAAAUGAAAAAUUGUAAGUAAUGUAGUGAUUUUCUUUGUCAGAAAUUCAUGUUGAGUUAUGAUAAGAUUUUAGACUUUGUAAGACUAAGUCAAUAUCAUGGCUACUACUAUUAGUAGUCAAUUGUGCUUCUACAAGAAGAAUUAUC